UCCUCUUUUUUUUUAAAUAAAAAAAAUCUGUUCUUACCAGUUUAAUCUCUGUUUUGUCCCCUAUCAGGGGCCAGUGUAUGAAAUAGAUUUUUGGAACCGGGAGAUGGAAAAAGAUGCUUGGUCGUUCCUCUUACUUCUAAUUUGGGGCACUGCGCGUGUGUCGUGCAAUGUACUGUGCAAUCCCA